ACCAUUCAGCAGCAGCUAGGCUAUGCCUCUCAUGAUCAUGACACGUAGUGGAAAUUUUCCUGGCUUCUAUACAUCAUCAUCUCUGCCUGAUUGGUUUGCCAUGGCUCUUUGAAACAGUUACUCUUGUCCUCAUUGUAGAGAUGGCGAUACUAAGGCAGAAUAUGUUUCUCUUGCUCAUCGGACCAAAGUUUGGAAUCACGUCUCAUCUUCGUGUAUUUUGAAAAUCUAACAAAUCUAGAAGAUGGUGUGAAUGUGCAUAUAUUUAGACAAUUUAAAAUUUUGUCAAGGACAUGAAAGAAAGACAUGUUUUCUAACAAAACAGAAAAAAACAAAAAUAAGAACAGAAUGCUUUUAACAUUGCUUAAAGAACUACAGAACUAUGGUGGCAAAGUGAGUAUGUCAUACAAGGCUAGCCUGGACUUCUUUUUGUGGAGACUGGAUUCCAAGAUUGAAAGUAGAAGCUACAUGUUUUCUCCAAGCAGGGCUUUCAGACUUCACUUCUGCAACAUUUUAUUGAUGAAAGCAAGUCACAAGACCAGACUGAUUCAAGGGGUGGAGAAAUAGACCCUACUUCUUGAUGGAGGGAGGAGUAGAGUUACAUUGCAAAGGGAUCUGGACAAAAAAAGGAGUGAUUUAUUAGGAAUCAUGUUUAACAAUUUACCACAAUCCCCAGCGCAACUGCCUGUUAGCUGGAUCCAGAAAUGUCUACGACUACUGCAAUGCCACUUGGCCUUAGGGGUGAUGUGACCCAGUGUAAAGAGAUGGUGGUCUUAACCAAUCACAGUUAAGAUAGUUUAGUUUUGGAAGGUAUAAAAAAUAUGUAACAACAUGAAUGCACUUUUAGGGUCAGACAAGAGACUUGGAAAGAGCCUGCAAAAUGGAGGAGCCCUGAGGCCUAAGUCUCAUGAGUGUCAAUGCUUACCUGUAUCUAGACACUGGCAUCCCCCUUUUGAUAAGGCCAAGAUUGAUUGUUUUCCUUUUCUACCUACCCUAUAUCUAAUCCAUGUACAAACACUGUUGACACACAAAAGAACCCUAAAUUCAACAAUCUGUGAAGAAUUUUUGCACUAACAUGUUAGUUCAAAAACUCAACAUUGCUUGCUAAGACUAUUGCAAUAAACUCCUCUAUGAUCCCCUAA
rnacentral:lncRNA from 1 species